GAUGAACGCUAGCGGCAGGCUUAAUACAUGCAAGUCGUGGGGCUGCAGGUCUGUAGCAAUACAGAUGCUGGCGACCGGCAAACGGGUGCGUAACACGUACGCAACCUUCCCGUUACUGUGGAAUAGCCCAGGGAAACUUGGAUUAAUACCCCAUAUUGUAUUGGUUAGGCAUCUGACUGAUAUCAAAGCUUCGGCGGUAACGGAUGGGCGUGCGGUUGAUUAGGUAGUUGGCGGGGUAACGGCCCACCAAGCCUACGAUCAAUAGCUGAUGUGAGAGCAUGAUCAGCCACACGGGCACUGAGACACGGGCCCGACUCCUACGGGAGGCAGCAGUAAGGAAUAUUGGGCAAUGGACGAAAGUCUGACCCAGCCAUGCCGCGUGAAGGAUGAAGGUCCUCUGGAUUGUAAACUUCUUUUAUCUGGGGCGAAAAUCGGUUAUUCUUAGCCGCUUGACAGUACCAGAUGAAUAAGCACCGGCUAACUCCGUGCCAGCAGCCGCGGUAAGAC
rnacentral:rRNA from 1 species